CGCCCCGCGCCGUUCCUCCCGCACGACCUCGCGUCUCUGCGCUGUUCCUCCACAGCCGGCCGCGGGCCGUAGGUCCCCUGUGCCGCCGCCAGAGCCACCCUUCGCCGCAGGCCGCAGGUCGCCGAGCCGCCGCCCCGGAGCCGCCCUUCCCCGCGGCCAGCAGGUCACCGAGCCGCCGCCGCGGAGCCGCCCUUCGACGCGGCCUGCAGGGGGCUCGCCUCGCUGCCCACGUCGUCCUCCUACUCCUCCUCAGUGGUACUCCUCAGUGCGGUGGAGAUAGCGGGCGCCGAGGGCAUGCGGACGGAGGUGGCGCAGAUCCAGGGGGGUAACAACGACGGGCGCCCCACAUCCCCUUCACGUGCCGCUGCCCAAUCCUCCUCUGCCUCCAUUGCCUGCAGUAAGGGAUCCCAAUCAUAUCCGUGGGUCAUCGCAUGGUCCACCGUCGCCGUUCCCUUAGCACUGCGCUUGCACUUCCUCUUGGUCGCCGCAAUCGUUGGGUCAUCGGUUCAUCUGUUCGUGCCUGGAUUGUCGCCGUUCAUCUUUACUCGUGUUUCUCUUUGAUGAUGUCCAGGUGCCGCAGUACCGGCAGCGAAGCUGAAGGCCCCAGUGCGGGAGGAAGCAGGCGGGUGCUCGGUGACAUCGACAACAUCGUCCCUGCCCACGUCCUCGAGGGUUGAAUAGCAAUAUCCAGCUACAGGCGGGGAUCACUCCAAUCACCAGGAGCUUUACCGCUGACCUCUGAAGUAGGCCUAGGCCGAUCCAUCGAAGGUGCGGACGCUCUGCGGUAUACACCACCUACUCUCUUGUCUGUUGGAAUUCGUGGCCUGUCACUCCUGUCCUCACGGUGUAGGCAAGUGGUCAAUUAUCCUGAAAUCUUUGCCCUAUUGUACAGCCCGUUUAAGCAGUCACAGAAGCCUCUUUAUAAAUUACAUUAAUCCCUAACGUUUGAUCAAGAAAAAUUGGUACUGUUGGUGUCCAUCUACCAGCACUGCUCAUGACCAUAUCAUGCAAAUACAGGAGCGAGGGGAACCAACAGGGGUGGUGUCCUGUGUGCAUCUCAUACAGCGUCCUGAAUCCCUGCAGUACACCAGCUUUGCGCUCUACCUAUAAGCUACAUGUGCUUUCAAAUUCGAUCUCCUGUGUGGCUUAAGACUUUGAAAUAAAUAUUGAGUAGAUAAAUCUUCAGUAGUUUUAGUUAUGCUCUCUAUACAAUUAGUAAUUGUUUAGGUGAUAAUUCCGAAUAAUGUUAGUGCUAAAGACUUAUACAUUAUUUUCAACUAGCAGUUUCAGUUCUCCCUUCGCCAAUUGAUACAAAUAAUCUAUGAAUUAUCAACUACUCCCUCCGUCCGAAAAUACUCGUCGGAGGAUUGGAUGUAUCUAGAUGUAUUUUAGUUCUAGAUACAUUCAUUUUUCUGUAUUUCUCCGACAAGUAUUUCCAGACGGAGGGAGUAUUAGGCUAACUAUGCACAUAUUAGAUUCUUUGUUUCAGCUGUCUCCUGCUGCACUGAUAUAAAUUUAUGUUUCAGAUUAUGUAGUCUUCUGCAGGUUAUUAGAUAAACUCUUCCAGAGAUUGAGAUCUAAUCACAACUGCUUUGAGUCAUUUACCUUUUAUUUUGCAAAAUGCAAUCAGAAGUAGUUGUCAUCUCUAAUGUUAAUGAAUAGAUUCUCAGAAAAGGAAAUUAAUUGGAAUUAUCUACUCAGCAUGUCCCAUGACUUCAAAAGGAAGAAUUUGACUAAAUUGAGAUGUUGAUCUGUAGUGUAAAGAUAGACAAAAUCAAAGAUUGGCCUAUUGUCCAGUAACUCCCUUAGUCAACACCCAAGAGCAUAAGUGGGAGCAAAAUCAAUGGUAGCACCAACUAUUGAGCAAAAGCACUUCGUGUUUUCAUGGUACGGUCUGAGCUUAAAAAUUGAAUUGAACAGUGACGGUUAGUGUUAUGCUUAUAAGUUGGUAGCCCCCGGCACUGUCUGUUGUAGAUGGUGCGUAUUAUUACCUCCUUCAAAUUAAAAUGCCGUUCUAAUAAAAAUACAACAUGUUCUGGUCAACUCAGGUGCGUUCCACUGGGUGAUUUUCUUUCUUAAUAAUUUUUUGGUCGUGCUAAAUAACUAUAUGCUUAGGAUCAAGGAUGUACUUGUUAUUGCCAAUGAGUUAUUGCUUUGUAUUUUUACAUGCCGACGGCUGGAAUGUCAUAAUAAUUUCUGCAUGUCUACACAUAGUUUACUCAUCCCACUGGAAAAAGAACCAAGAAUGUUGUGUGCAGAGAUGUCUUGGAGGGACAACACAUGUUUGUUUUCCGUACAUGUCAAUCCACCUUAUUAUAUUAUUAGGACAUGUUACUCAUCUCUAAUAUUGAAUUUUUUUUCUAAUUUAUGUGUAUAUUAUGCAUACAAUGAUGAGCUAUUCUGUUAGGAUAAUUUGAAUUAGGGAGCCUUGCUAAAUAAUGUAUAAAGAUGGUACUGAAGGAGGCUAUGCAACUAGCAAUGUACUCUGUUUAUAAUCUGACCGAUAUUUCUUAAAAGAUGUAUGGUUGUUGUGUUCUCUCAGACAAUAUAAAGCAUAGUUCUAUAUGCUCUGCUAAAUUUGCAACUUUCAAUGCUUUGUGGGGCCUUUCCCAUCAACUCUAGGGAUUUUACCUAAAGGUUCUUCUCUGAUUUUUGUGUGUGUGUGACUCUAGCUAUUUUACUUACUGGACGUCUAUAUCAUGCAUGUUUAGGGCCUUGUCUCUAUAUUUUUCAUGUGAAUCGCAGAGUAAUAUGUGAAUAACAUUUGCAUUGGUGUAAGCUUGCAUGUUUGCUACAGCAGGGCAGAGUUAGUGUAGCAUCAUUAGUUUCUUUUUUGAUAUACUAACAAGUUACCCUGUGUGAAUUCUCAACUGUUUGGAGCCCUGUUUGCGCGCAAGAUUACGAGGAGCGCCCUGUGCAAUUCCUCGACUGUUUGAGACAACGAUCGUCAAAUGGGAGGGCUCCCGGGGGGAGACACGGCGGCCAGGGGCAUCUCCAUUGUUUAUCCGCCGCUUCCCUUCGUCACCAGUGAAUAGCAAUCACAGCACCGCAUCAUUCACUUGCCUACCGUAGAUUGACCGCUAAUGCGGGCGCUCCGCUCCACUACUCCAUCUCAUGCUGUAUAUUUCCUCUCUUUAUAUCUAGAUAAAGUAUAGCAUGUAAAUAUGUCUAAAUUCAGAAAUAACGGUUUCCCUUCUAUCUUCACUUAUAGUGUUUUGGUUAGUAUAAAUGUAACUAAAUUCAGCGGAUGGUGUUAUUUGAAGCCAAAUUAUAGGAUUAUUCCCCUGGUGUUAUUAAUGUAUUUGGAUUAAACUUAUGAACAUGAUUCCUUUA